GACAGAGGUGCCGAGCGUUAGGCGGAAUCACUGGGCUUAAAGCGUGUGUAGGCGGACUUCUAAGUACCUUGUGAAAUCCCACGGCUUAACCGUGGAACUGCUUGGUAUACUGGUUGUCUUGGGCCACUUAGGGGCUACCGGAACAAACGGUGGAGCGGUGAAAUGCGUAGAUAUCGGUUGGAACGCCAAUGGUGAAAACAGGUAGCUGGGAGUGUGCCGACGCUGAGACACGAAAGCCAGGGGAGCGAACGGG
rnacentral:rRNA from 1 species